rnacentral:rRNA from 1 species
GACGGAGGGUGCGAGCGUUAUUCGGAAUCAUUGGGCGUAAAGGGCGUGUAGGCGGCCAGUCAAGUCAGAUGUGAAAGCCCAGGGCUUAACCCUGGAAGGGCAUGUGAAACUGACUGGCUUGAGUCCGGGAGAGGGAAGCGGAAUUCCUGGUGUAGAGGUGAAAUUCGUAGAUAUCAGGAGGAACACCGGUGGCGAAGGCGGCUUCCUGGACCGAGACUGACGCUGAGACGCGAAAGCGUGGGGAGCAAACAGG